rnacentral:rRNA from 1 species
GACAGAGGGGGCAAGCGUUGCUCGGAAUCACUGGGCGUAAAGGGCGCGUAGGCGGGAUGGCAAGUCGGUCGUGAAAUCCUUCGGCUCAACCGAAGAACGUCGGCCGAUACUGCCGUUCUUGAGGGAUGCAGAGGAGAUUGGAAUUCCGGGUGUAGUGGUGAAAUGCGUAGAGAUCCGGAGGAACCCCAGAGGCGAAGGCGGCAGCCUGGUUGGUAUCUGACGCUCGGACACGACAGCAUGGGGAGCGAACGGG